CUACGUGCCAGCAGCCGCGGUAAUACGUAGGUCCCGAGCGUUGUCCGGAUUUAUUGGGCGUAAAGCGAGCGCAGGCGGUUAGAUAAGUCUGAAGUUAAAGGCUGUGGCUUAACCAUAGUAUGCUUUGGAAACUGUUUAACUUGAGUGCAGAAGGGGAGAGUGGAAUUCCAUGUGUAGCGGUGAAAUGCGUAGAUAUAUGGAGGAACACCGGUGGCGAAAGCGGCUCUCUGGUCUGUAACUGACGCUGAGGCUCGAAAGCGUGGGGAGCGAACAGGAUUAGAUACCCUGGUAGUCCACGCCGUAAACGAUGAGUGCUAGGUGUUGGAUCCUUUCCGGGAUUCAGUGCCGCAGCUAACGCAUUAAGCACUCCGCCUGGGGAGUACGACCGCAAGGUUGAAACUCAAAGGAAUUGACGGGGGCCCGCACAAGCGGUGGAGCAUGUGGUUUAAUUCGAAGCAACGCGAAGAACCUUACCAGGUCUUGACAUCCCGAUGCUAUUUCUAGAGAUAGAAAGUUACUUCG
rnacentral:rRNA from 1 species